rnacentral:rRNA from 1 species
CUGCAUGGCUGUCGUCAGCUCGUGUCGUGAGAUGUUGGGUUAAGUCCCGCAACGAGCGCAACCCUUGUCUUCAGUUACCAUCAUUUAGUUGGGUACUCUGGAGAAACUGCCCCGGUUAACGGGGAGGAAGGUGGGGAUGACGUCAAGUCCUCAUGGCCCCUAUGUCCAGGGCUACACACGUGCUACAAUGGCAUGUACAAAGGGUAGCAAGCCUGCGAAGGUGAGCCAAUCCCAUAAAGCCGGUCUCAGUCCGGAUCGCAGUCUGCAACUCGACUGCGUGAAGUUGGAAUCGCUAGUAAUCGUAGAUCAGCAUGCUACGGUGAAUACGUUCCCGGGCCUU